CCUACGGGAGGCAGCAGUGGGGAAUAUUGGACAAUGGGGGGAACCCUGAUCCGGCGACGCCGCGUGAGUGAAGAAGUAUUUCGGUAUGUAAAGCUCUAUCAGCAGGGAAGAAAAUGACGGUACCUGACUAAGAAGCCCCGGCUAACUACGUGCAGGCAGCCGCGGUAAUACGUAGGGGGCAAGCGUUAUCCGGAUUUACUGGGUGUAAAGGGGGCGUAGACGGUGCAGCAAGUCUGAUGUGAAAGGUCGGGGCCCAACCCCGGGACUGCAGUGGAAACUGUUGAACUGGAGUACAGGAGAGGUAAGCGGAAUUCCUAGUGUAGCGGUGAAAUGCGUAGAUAUUGGGAGGAACACCAGUGGCGAAGGCGGCCUGCUGGACAUUAACUGACGCUGAGGCGCGAAAGCGUGGGGAGCAAACAGGAUUAGAUACCCCUGUAGUC
rnacentral:rRNA from 1 species